rnacentral:rRNA from 1 species
AAAUGGUUUGGCAGUGAGCGAUUCUUGUUAGGGGAAGAUGCAUAGUAAAGGAUGGUCCACCUAUUAUUUCACUCUUGUUAUGUUGGUGUAUAUCUGGUUUGAUAUUAUCGUUUAAUGGUUUGAGUUUGUGUAGUUUUAGUUAAGCCAAGUCUAUGUGCUGCUUAUGGGAGUUUUUGUGUGUUACAUUAAUAAGGGUGUUGUUGUAAUAUGAUAUUAUUUAGGACUUAAUAGUAAUGUUAAAUUAGUUUGUUGAUGUGAAAUGAGUUUAGCUCAGGUACACACCGCCCGUCACCCU